ACGGGGCGCAGCAGUGGGGAAUUUUGCGCAAUGGGGGGAACCUUGACGCAGCGACGCCGCGUGGGUGAUGAAGGCCUUCGGGUUGUAAAGCCCUGUUGGGGGGGAAGAUAAUGACGGUACCCCCUGAGGAAGCCCCGGCUAACUACGUGCCAGCAGCCGCGGCAAGACGUAGGGGGCGAGCGUUGUCCGGAAUUACUGGGCGUAAAGGGCGUGUAGGCGGCUUUUCAAGUCGGCUGUGAAAUUCCCCGGCUUAACCGGGGGGGUGCAGUCGAAACUGAUGGGCUUGAGUGCAGGAGAGGGUGGUGGAAUUCCCGGUGUAGCGGUGACAUGCGUAGAUAUCGGGAGGAACACCGGUGGCGAAGGCGACCUCCUGGCCUGUUACUGACGCUGAGGCGCGAAAGCUGGGGGAGCAAACAGGAUUAGAUACCCUGGUAGUCCCAGCUGUAAACUCUGGGUACUAGGUGUGGGGGGCUUCGAUGCCCUCUGUGCCGUAGUUAACGCAUUAAGUACCCCGCCUGGGGAGUACGAUCGCAAGGUUGAAACUCAAAGGAAUUGGCGGGGGAGCACA
rnacentral:rRNA from 1 species